AUAUUAAUAUGGCAGUACAUAUUCUAAAAUUGGAAAGAUAUAGAAAAGAUUAGCAUGGCCCUUGCACAAGGAUGACAUGCAAAUUCAUGAAGCAUUCCAUGUUUUU
rnacentral:snRNA from 1 species